rnacentral:rRNA from 1 species
CAAAGGGAGCAAUCCCGGCCACGGAUGGGCAUGCGGCGCAUUAGCUAGUCGGCGGGGUAACGGCCCACCGAGGCGACGAUGCGUAGGGGUUCUGAGAGGAAGGCCCCCCACACUGGUACUGAGACACGGACCAGACUCCUACGGGAGGCAGCAGUGAGGAAUAUUGGUCAAUGGGCGCGAGCCUGAACCAGCCAAGUCGCGUGAGGGAGGACGGCCCUACGGGUUGUAAACCUCUUUUGCCGGGGAGCAACGGGCGCCACGUGUGGCGUCACUGAGAGUACCCGGAGAAAAAGCAUCGGCUAACUCCGUGCCAGCAGCCGCGGUAAUACGGAGGAUGCGAGCGUUAUCCGGAUUUAUUGGGUUUAAAGGGUGCGUAGGCGGAUCGUUAAGUCAGUGGUCAAAUUGAGGGGCUCAACCCCUUCCCGCCAUUGAAACUGGCGCUCUUGAGUGGAAGAGAAGUAUGCGGAAUGCGUGGUGUAGCGGUGAAAUGCAUAGAUAUCACGCAGAACCCCGAUUGCGAAGGCAGCAUGCCGGCUUCCGACUGACGCUGAAGCACGAAAGCGUGGGGAUCGAACAGGAUUAGAUACCCUGGUAGUCCACGCGGUAAACGAUGAGCGCUAGGUGUCCGGGGGGAAUGGCC